rnacentral:misc_RNA from 1 species
UAAAAAAAAAAAAAAAAAAAAUCAUUUUUGAAAAAAUAGAAAUAAGCAUUAUUGUGUGAGGAUUCAUUUAAUUUUUUUUUGUUUUUACAAAUGAUUUAUUUUAAACGAAGCCAAUGUCAAUAAGAUGAAGAAGAGUUGAAUAAAAUUGAGCUUUCUUUGCUAAGCAGUUCUGUAUUUGCAUAUUGAUUUAGUUGUGCAAAUGGGAUUUUCCUAAUGUUUUGACUAUAAUCAAAUAUUAUUAAUGUCUAUAAGACCAAGGUUCAAAGGAUUAAGACUGAUUUCCUUCUUGGAUUUUUCUAAUGAAGAUGUUUUGACACUGGAAUCCAUUGAGAAUCAGUUUGUUGGUCAAUUUUUUUAAAGGGAAAGAUGGACUACGUCUAUGGACCAGGAAGGAACCAUCUGUUUGUUCCAGGGCCUGUUAAUAUCCCGGAACCAGUUAUUCGAGCAAUGAAUAGGAACAAUGAGGAUUACCGUUCUCCAGCUGUUCCUGCUUUGACAAAGACUCUUCUUGAGGAUGUCAAGAAGAUUUUCAAGACUACUACAGCAACUCCAUUUCUUAUCCCAACCACAGGUACUGGUGCAUGGGAAAGUGCACUUACCAACACAUUGUCUCCUGGAGAUCGGAUUGUCUCUUUCCUGAUUGGACAAUUCAGUUUGCUCUGGAUCGAUCAGCAGCAGCGCCUUGGCUUCAAUGUUGAUGUUGUCGAAAGCGAGUGGGGUCAAGGUGCCAACCUUGACAUUCUGGCAUCAAAACUGGCAGCAGACACUGCACACACUAUUAAGGCUGUUUGCAUUGUUCAUAAUGAGACAGCAACUGGAGUUACCAACAAUUUGGCAAAAGUGAGAAGAAUACUUGAUGACUACAGUCAUCCAGCUCUCUUUCUUGUUGAUGGAGUAUCCUCCAUAUGUGCUCUUGAUUUCCGUAUGGAUGAAUGGGGAGUAGAUGUUGCUUUAACUGGCUCUCAGAAGGCGCUUUCUCUUCCUACUGGUAUGGGAAUUGUGUGUGCGGGCCCCAAAGCUCUUGAAGCAACUAAAACUGCAAAAUCGGUUAGGGUGUUCUUCGACUGGAAUGACUACUUGAAGUUCUACAAACUUGGAACAUAUUGGCCAUACACCCCAUCCAUCCAAUUGCUCUAUGGACUUAGAACAGCUCUGGAUCUCAUUUUUGAGGAAGGACUUGACAAUGUGAUUGCAAGGCAUGCUCGUCUGGGCAAAGCAACAAGGUGAUUCCUUUUUCCUUCUAGCAUUGAUAAGUUCAUCUAAAUGAUACAAAUAAACCUUUUCCCUUUUCUUUAUUGAGUAAAUGGAUUAUGGAUUGAUGCAAAUGACAUGUCUCAAACCUUAUAAUGUAGACUUGCUGUGGAGGCAUGGGGCUUGAAGAACUGCACCCAAAAGGAGGAAUGGUUCAGUGACACAGUGACCGCUGUCGUCGUUCCUCCAUACAUCGAUAGUUCAGAAAUUGUUAGGAGAGGAUGGAAAAGAUACAAUUUGAGCUUAGGUUUGGGUCUCAACAAAGUUGCAGGGAAGGUAUUCAGAAUAGGGCAUCUUGGCAACCUGAAUGAGGUAAUCUUCAUUUCUCAUAUACUUUAAUUGGUUAUUUACAUAUUGCAAUUCAGUAUUUAAAAUGUGACUUUUUUUUUUUUUCAUUUAUCUUAGAAUUCUGGAGAAGCAUUUACUUUGAUAUUAUGCAUUAUGGUUUCAUAGUCUGGACUCUGGUCCUCAAUCUAACAUCAACACGUAAGAAAGAAAACAUAAUCAGAGUCGAAGCAUUUAAUUUUUUGAUAUGUUAAGGAACGUGCACUGCUGAAUGUUCUAUUGAUAGUAGUUAAAUAGGUCAAAAAAAAAAAAGUUUGCAUUUAAUGAAAUUAAAAAACUAUAAUAUAUUCCUUAGUGUUGUAUGACAAAACUAGGGCUCAAUUGUGAUCCGAGGUCUUAAAAACCCUAUGUUCAAACUGUAUAAUGCUCCUGCACGUACGUAUGAAUUGCCUAAUCAUACUAUUGUGCUUUCCUGAGUAUCUUCUAACAUCUGAUCAUUACUGUAUUGAGCCAGCUUUAGCUUCUAUCAGAUUUGGUCAAUUACUGCAACUUUCAGCUUUUGUAAUAUAAUGAUUGCUAAUUUGGUAAAGAUAAGAAUUUCAAUCCCUGACACCUUCUUUCCCUUAGAAAUUUCUGAUGCAGUCACAGAAACUUGUUAGAAAUUAGUGUGAGACCGAGUUAUGUUCUUCCUAUUAGAUCCUGAAUCAUAACCAGAUAUUUUGUUGAGGUUAUGCACUAUGGUUUGUUAGCGUUCAGUAAUAUUUUCUCCUGAAGCACUUUCGUUUCAAGUAUAAAAGCAUUGAAAUUACAACACUCUAGGAGCAAAUUGUUUCAAGGGUUGCAAUUUCUGACUUCGAUUUGUGCUUGUAUUUUCAGUUACAACUUUUGGGUUGUCUGGCUGGAGUGGAGAUGAUACUCAAGGACGUGGGUUACCCAGUUCAGCUGGGAAGUGGAGUAGCAGCAGCCUGUGCUUACUUGCAGAACAACACCCCUCUAAUCCCUUCCAGGAUUUAAUUCAUCUACCAUCCAUCCAUAUCGUUAUUCUUCUUUUUUUUCCUCCGCUAUACGCUGCAGGGAACUCUGUAAAAAAUAUGCAUGGUUUCUUCUUCUUGUUGUACUCUUUCUAGGUUCAAAUCAUCUCCUACCUAAAUCAUUGCUUUCCAGUUGUCCUGUAUCUUAAAUACUUUCAAGCACAAUCUAAUUUCUUCCUUCUUUUUAACUUACGCAUUCUCUGAAUAUUUAAUAUGAUAGAUUACACUGUCUGGGUUAGGGAAGGUAUCUUUGAUGAUGAUGAUCUACUGCGCUUUGAUGCUAUAUUUUGAUGAUUAUAAGAGCUGUAUAGUUUACCAAAUCACAGAUGAGUCUGUUUUUUUUUUC